UGGUACCCUUGUACACACCGCCCGUCGCUACUACCGAUUGAAUGGUUUAGUGAGGCCUUCUGACUGGCGCCGCUACUCUGGCAACAGAGCGGCGGAUGUCGGGAAGUUGGUCAAACUUGAUCAUUUAGAGGAAGUAAAAGUCGUAACAAGGUUUCCGUAGGUGAACCUGCGGAAGGAUCAUUACCGAUGGAAUGUCCAAAGAAAAGGUUACAUCAACCUUUGUGAACCGUACACAACCUUUAGGGGUCGGUCUCUGUGCCGUUAAAUGUGUCGUUCGUCCGUUGAUUCGGCGUUCGGCCAGCCCCGCCUACCGCCAUUGUGGACGCACUUGAAUGUACCAGUCUGAAAGUGAAACCUUCCUUGCUGCCUGUCCUGCCAGGUAGUAGUGCGAACGAAAAAUAAAUGAGAGAGACAACUUUUAACGGUGGAUCUCUUGGCUCACGUAUCGAUGAAGAACGCAGCCAGCUGCGAUAAGUAGUGUGAAUUGCAGAAUUCAGUGAAUCAUUGAAUCUUUGAACGCAAAUGGCGCUCUUGGGUUCUCCCAGGAGCAUGUCUGUCUGAGUGUCGGAUAUUAUCUAACGCACUCCAGCGUGCGGAAUUGAGGCGUCACGGUGCAAGACAACUCGCCGUGUCCCUUGAAGGAAAGCGUGCUAGACUCGCAUCGCGCGGUUUCAAACCCGCACUCCACAUGCGAAGGCUAAAACUACUUUGUCCUUCGUCGGGGUGCGGGUCCGCCAAGGCGAGUCGGCCGACAAAGGUGCGACGCAAUAAACAACAUCUUGACCUCAGAUCAGGCAAGGCUACCCGCUGAAUUUAAGCAUAUUAGUAAGCGGAGGAAAAGAAACUAACAAGGAUUCCCCCAGUAACGGCGAGUGAAGCGGGAAUAGCUCAAAUUUGAAAUCUCCGACGCUUGCGUCGGCGAGUUGUAGUUGCGAGAAGCACUUUCUCGGCGGAUCGGGCGUGCCUAAGUUGCUUGGAACAGUACGUCGCAGAGGGUGACAACCCCGUUUGUGGCACGGCCGACCGCUCACGAUGUGCUUUCGAAGAGUCGGGUUGCUUGGGACUGCCGCCCAAAGC
rnacentral:rRNA from 1 species